AUGUACUUAGCCAGUGCUACAAGACCUGACAUCUCUUUUGCUGUUAGCAAGCUAAGUCGGUUUGUCUCAAAACCAGGGGAUGUGCAUUGGAAAGCUCUAGAAAGAGUUUUGCGUUAUUUGAAAGGCACUGCUAAUUAUGGAAUUCACUACACUGGGCACCCAAAGGUGCUUGAAGGGUAUAGUGACUCAAACUGGAUCUCAGAUGCUGAUGAGAUAAAGGCCACGAUGAUCACGAAAGUGAGCAGCUCAAAGGAUAACAUGAAGUCAUCAAGACACGUUCAAAGAAGGUUAAAAUCUGUCAGAAAAAUGAGAAACUCCGGAGUUAUUGCAUUGGAUUAUAUCCAAACGUCUAAAAAUCUGGCAGAUCCUUUUACUAAGGGUCUAUCACGUAAUGUGAUAGAUAAUGCAUCGAGGGAGAUGGGUAUGAGACCCACAAUAUGA
rnacentral:rRNA from 1 species